GGACGGAGCCUGCGCGUCCGUGGGAUGGUGCUGGGCACGGGGGGAAGAAGCGGAAAGCCUCCGCAGAAGCUGAUGCCAGCUUCCCUCUGAAGCGCAGCCAUGCGGAAAGGCAGGGCAGGAGCACAGAAUGGGACGUGGCACCCAAGAGAGAGGUGGGUGCUGAGCCAAACGGCCAUCUCCACGUGAAGGUGGUGCAGCAGGGGCGUUCCGAGAGAGCUUGUCUCCCUGAGAGAGCUCCAGCUCCUCUCCAGGCUGGAGGGCUUCCUGGCAG